rnacentral:rRNA from 1 species
GAGCUAAUACCCGACGAAGUCGUUGUGUCGCCUGGCACGACGACCAAAGGUGGGGACCUUCGGGCCUGCCGGUCUUGGAGCGGCCUAUGUCCUAUCAGCUUGUAGGGGAGGUAACGGCUCACCAUGGCGCCGACGGGUAGCGGGACUGAAAGGUUGACCCGCCACAUCGGGACUGAGACACUGCCCGGACACCUACGGGUGGCUGCAGUAACGAAUAUUGGGCAAUGGGCGCAAGCCUGACCCAGCAAUGCCGCGUGCAGGAGGAAGCCCUUCGGGGUGUAAACUGCUGUCAGGAGCUAGCAAUCAAGGGACGUUAAUAGCGUCCGGCGUUGAGCAGCUCCAGAGGAAGCCUCGACUAACUCUGUGCCAGCAGUCGCGGUAAUACAGAGGAGGCAAGCGUUGUUCGGAAUCACUGGGCUUAAAGAGGGUGUAGGCGGCUUGGCAAGUGUCGUGUGAAAUCCAACGGCUCAACCGUUGAACUGCACGGCAAACUGCCUGGCUUGAGGUUGGCAGAGGUGCCUGGAACUCUUGGUGGAGCGGUGACAUGCGUAGAUAUCAAGAGGAACGCCGGAGGCGAAAGCGGGGCACUGGGCCAAUUCUGACGCUGAGACCCGAAAGCGUGGGGAGCAAACAGGAUUAGAUACCCUGGUAGUCCACGCCGUAAACGAUGCACACUAGACGUCGGAGGUUCUGACGCCAUCGGCGUCGUAGCAAAAGUAUUAAGUGUGCCGCCUGGGGAGUACGGCCGCAAGGCUAAAACUCAAAGGAAUUGACGGGGGCUCACACAAACGGUGGAGCAUGUGGCUUAAUUCGAAGCAACGCGAAGAACCUUACCCAGGUUUGACAUGCUUGGAUGCAAUCCGGGGAUAACUCGGUGCGCUGCCCUUCGGGGUGAAACUUGCACAGCUGUUGCAUGGCUGUAGUCAGAUCGUGCUGUGAAGUGUCGGCUUAAGUCCCUUAACGAGCGAAACCCAUAUCGCUAGUUGCCAGCGGUUCAUACCGGGGACUCUAGCGAGACUGCCGGCGUUAAGCCGGAGGAAGUUGGGGUCGACGUCAAGUCAUCAUGGCCUUUAUGCCUGGGGAUGUCACACGUGAUACAAUGGCGUGAACAGAGCGACGCAAGACCGCGAGGUGGAGCAAAUCGCAAAAAACACGCCCCAGUUCGGAUUGGAGUUUGCAAUUCGACUCCAUGAAGUUGGAAUCGCUAGUAAUCGCGUAUCAGC